rnacentral:sRNA from 1 species
UCUCGUUAUACUGUCGUCAACCACUUA